CGGGAGUUGUGGUUUCCUUUCAGAACCACAGCAACGAGCUCGCAGGGGAAGCCGCGGCAGAGGGGACUACAUUUCCCAGGAAGCCACGCGCGCUGCUUUGGCCUCAAGCAACACACGCGAAGCAGCCAGUCUUAAUGAUAGAUUUAUAUUAAAAAUAGAGAUAUCGCUAAUAUAAUAUAUAGAAAUAAUAACAUUGUAAUGUAAUAAUACUAAUCUAUUAUAUAUCCAUGGCUUUCUCCCCUUUUCCUUUGCCUUGCUUCCUAUUGGGCCUUGGAUUGGAAGUCACACUCUCUCAAUCUAUGGAGGAAGAAAAGAGGCGCAGCCAUUGGACGGAAGCCUCCAUCCCCGGCCCACAUUGCAUUACGGCAAGCAGGCAUGCGCUGGCACUGCUGCUGCUGCAUUGCAGCGCAAGCGGCGCUUUCCUCUCUUUGGACGAAGCCGUGAGCCAGCAAAGCAGCCGGGAAGCAGGCCUGAACACAUUGGAUGCCUCGGGCAUCCCCAGGCCUUGGGAAAGAUUGAGCCUUUUGAAACUGGAUAGAUCGAACAGCAAGUUUACCAGAUUUUUGCAGCAUCUAAAAAAAAUGCAGGGUUUGAGAAAGUUAAUGAUUAUAUCUAUCUGAUAGAUGGACGAUAUCGAGCUACUAGUUAGCUAAUGAGAUGAUACAUGAAAAUAAAUAGAUGAUAAUCAAUAUACA